rfam:Gossypium hirsutum cultivar TM-1 chromosome 1, whole genome shotgun sequence
UGUUAAAAAUCUCAUUUAUUUUUACUGCUAGCGUGAAUGACAAAAUAACUAAAUAGUUCCAUGUGACGUGCCUCGUGUACCUCAUUCUGCCGUAUAGGGACCAAUUUUUACCAAUAAAAAUGAAUGGAAUUAUUAACA